rnacentral:rRNA from 1 species
CCUUUUGUAUAAUGGGUCAGCGACUUAUAUUCUGUAGCAAGGUUAACCGAAUAGGGGAGCCGAAGGGAAACCGAGUCUUAACUGGGCGUUAAGUUGCAGGGUAUAGACCCGAAACCCGGUGAUCUAGCCAUGGGCAGGUUGAAGGUUGGGUAACACUAACUGGAGGACCGAACCGACUAAUGUUGAAAAAUUAGCGGAUGACUUGUGGCUGGGGGUGAAAGGCCAAUCAAACCGGGAGAUAGCUGGUUCUCCCCGAAAGCUAUUUAGGUAGCGCCUCGUGAAUUCAUCUCCGGGGGUAGAGCACUGUUUCGGCAAGGGGGUCAUCCCGACUUACCAACCCGAUGCAAACUGCGAAUACCGGAGAAUGUUAUCACGGGAGACACACGGCGGGUGCUAACGUCCGUCGUGAAGAGGGAAACAACCCAGACCGCCAGCUAAGGUCCCAAAGUCAUGGUUAAGUGGGAAACGAUGUGGGAAGGCCCAGACAGCCAGGAUGUUGGCUUAGAAGCAGCCAUCAUUUAAAGAAAGCGUAAUAGCUCACUGGUCGAGUCGGCCUGCGCGGAAGAUGUAACGGGGCUAAACCAUGCACCGAAGCUGCGGCAGCGACACUAUGUGUUGUUGGGUAGGGGAGCGUUCUGUAAGCCUGU